UACGUAGGGGCCGAGCGUUGUCCGGAGUUAUUGGGCGUAAAGCGCGCGCAGGCGGCCUCGCGCGCCCGACGUGAAAGCCCCCGGCUUAACCGGGGAGGGUCGUUGGGGACGGCGGGGCUUGAGGGCGGGAGAGGUCGGUGGAAUUGCCGGUGUAGUGGUGAAAUGCGUAGAGAUCGGCAGGAACACCCGUGGUGAAAACGGCCACCCUAGCCCAGGCCUGACGCU
rnacentral:rRNA from 1 species